rnacentral:rRNA from 1 species
CGCUUCCUACGGGAGGCAGCAGUGGGGAAUAUUGCACAAUGGGGGAAACCCUGAUGCAGCGACGCCGCGUGAGUGAAGAAGUAUUUCGGUAUGUAAAGCUCUAUCAGCAGGGAAGAAAAUGACGGUACCUGACUAAGAAGCCCCGGCUAACUACGUGCCUGCAGCCGCGGUAAUACGUAGGGGGCAAGCGUUAUCCGGAUUUACUGGGUGUAAAGGGAGCAUAGACGGCAGCACAAGUCUGGAGUGAAAUCCCGGGGCUUAACCCCGGAACUGCUUUGGAAACUGUGUGGCUGGAGUGCAGGAGG